GCCAUCUCCUCCUCCUCGUCACACUCAUCUUCGUCUCUCUCUCGUUCUCUUUCGUGUUCUCUCUCUCCUCUGCUUCCUGCGCUUUCCAUGGCGGUGAUGGAGGACAGCGCGAGCUGCCUGAGCCAGGCGCCGCCCGCCGCCUCGUCCCCGUCGCGGAGGAGGCGCGAGGCCUACGGCGAGACCCUGAGCCGGCUCAACCGCUCCGGCCACGCCGACGCCUCGCGGCCCGGCUUCGACGACGAGCUCUGGUCCCACUUCGCCCGCCUCCCUACUCGGUACGCUUCGGAGGUGAACGUGGAGAGGGCCGAGGACGUGCUCACGCACAAGAGGCUGCUGGAAUCGGCUCGCGAUCCGGCCAAUCGACUCGCGAUCGACGUUCGCCUUGUCCAGGUUCUUCCCCCAUAUGAAUUGCGUACGACUGAUUCUGUUCAUUCAGGUUCUACUAUUAAAAGUGAAGAUGUGAGUUCAACAUGUUACUCCAGCAGGCUAAGCAUUCAUCCUCCACCAGCAUUUGGAUCAUCACCUAAUCUCGAGUUGCUUGCUUUAGAAGGUAGUGAAUCUCUUACAAAGGAUGGAGACAACUCUGUUCAUGCCAAUGCACAAUUUUCUCGACCCAUGCAUGAAAUAACUUUUUCAAGUGAAGAUAAACCAAAGCUACUCAGUCAGCUGACUUCGUUACUUGCUGAUGUUGGUCUGAACAUCCAAGAAGCACAUGUGUUUUCUACAAUAGACGGUUACUCUUUAGAUGUCUUUGUGGUCGAUGGCUGGCCUUAUGAGGAAACAGAACAGCUCAGAAUUGCUUUGGAGAAGGAAGCUUUGAAGCAUGAGAAGCAUGCUCGGACAAAAUUUCACGCAUCAUUUCAUUUGAGCAAUGUGGAGCAAACAGGAAUAAAGAAGGAGCACGAUCACUUGUCAAUUCCAAAUGAUGGAAUUGAUGUUUGGGAGAUAGAUUUAAAUAAUUUGAAGUUUGAGAAAAAGGUUGCAUCAGGAUCUUAUGGUGACUUGUACAAAGGCACGUACUGCAGCCAGGAUGUGGCCAUUAAGGUCCUCAAGCAUGAGCGUCUAAAUGAAGAGUUGCAAAGGGAGUUUGCACAGGAAGUUUUUAUUAUGAGGAAAGUUCGACACAAGAAUGUUGUGCAAUUUAUUGGAGCAUGUACCAAGUCUCCAAACUUGUAUAUUGUGACAGAAUUCAUGUCAGGUGGAAGUGUGUAUGACUAUCUGCAUAAGCAGAAAGGUGUCUUUAAGCUUCCUAUGUUGCUUAAAGUAGCUAUCGAUGUUGCAAAAGGAAUGCAUUACUUGCAUCAGAAUAACAUUAUUCACAGAGACUUGAAGGCUGCAAACCUAUUGAUGGAUGAGAAUGAAGUUUUUAAGGUUGCAGAUUUUGGUGUUGCUAGAGUGAAAGCUCAAUCAGGAGUUAUGACCGCUGAAACCGGAACAUAUAGAUGGAUGGCCCCAGAGGUCAUUGAACACAGGCCAUAUGAUCACAAGGCCGACGUUUUCAGUUUCGGUAUUGUAUUAUGGGAGUUACUCACUGGAAAGCUCCCAUAUGAGUACUUGACUCCGUUACAAGCAGCUGUUGGAGUGGUUCAGAAGGGACUCCGGCCUACCAUCCCAAAGCACACUCACCCAAAGCUUGGUGAGCUACUGCAGAGUUGCUGGCAGGGGAAUGCUAAGAUGAGACCCGACUUUGUUGAUAUAAUCACAAUCCUGCAGCAAAUAGCAAAGGAGGUUGCAGAAGAGGGGGAGGAUCGGCGCAAGGAGAAGCCCGGCAAAUUCCUAUCUGUCCUCCGGAGAGGACAUCAUUGAAUCGCCAGGAGCAGAGUCAAGUAGGCUUUUAUUUUCUUCAGCAUGAAAAGAUCUGUACAGUUCCCGUAGCUGAAAGUGAACACGCAGGAAAGGGGCGCGAAAGACGUCUAAGUACAUAGCAAUGAGAUGGUGUAUAUGAAAAGAAAGGAGUGAGGGGUCAGAGGACACACGUGUCCAACUAGGGUUUGGUUGACAGUGUCUACGCCACGAAGGCUGCGCAUGGUAGACCGCUGCCGAUCGCCGCCGCACGGCCCAUCGGUCGGCGGUCGACAAUGGUCAAUGGGCCGUGCGGCGGUAGUCGGCGGGCGGCGGUCGACCGACGGUGACGUGCGGCGGCGGCAGUGUCCGGCGGCGACCGGUGGCGGGCGGCAACAGCAACUGUCGGCCGGUGGCCACUGGCGGUGGCAACGGUCGGUUGGCCUCUGACAGCCGGCGGCAGCGGCAACGGUAGGUCGGUUGGCCUUCGGCGGUCGGCGGUGGCG